rnacentral:lncRNA from 1 species
AAGAAUUCGUCUCUCGGGUCAUGGUUCCAACAGGAAGAUGAGGUUGUCUUUCAUCGCCAGGGAAGUCUUGACUCUGAUUGCAGGACAGAAUCAUCUUUCAGCCCAUCACCUCCAACUGAUACUCGCAUGACAGUUUCUGACCUUUUUACAAACCUGAAUGCACCCAGGAGCUCUUACAUGGGAGUGCCAACGGAUCAAACGGACAAGGCUUGGACUAUUUUAACAACUCGAUCCAAUCACCCUCGUACUCAAGCCAGACUUCCCAGUCUAACAGGUUUCAGUUCACAAUGCCUCAUCAAGAAAGUGCAUUUGACUCAAGUUUCUUCUUGGACUCACCACCUGCAAUGAGAAACUCCAGCUUCAGUUCAAGCGGCCCUGGAACUCCGUGCACUCCUUGUACGCCUGGAACACCACCAAUUGGCGGGUACAGCGAUCCCUUCUCUAGAUCCAUGGCUCAACAUCAAGCUCAGGGACGCGCGAUCAGAGGCUCACCUCCAUAUAGAAUGGAUUGCGGCAGCCCAGUUAUUGACCAGGCCCCUCUUUUAAGCACUAGAUCACUUUCACCAGCUGACUCUGAUGGAAGCAGUUCAAACUUUGACUCUAUGUCUGACCUCAUGGCAUCUUUGAAUUUGUGUGCUGGAUCUAACAACUUUGUGAAUCCUGCUCAAUCAAAUGGCCGAAAUGGUCAAUCUUGGCCCAGUGGAUUAUCCGAACAAGAGUUGACUAACUUGUACGCGUUGAAUGCCUUAUACAACAACAAUAACCUGAUGGAAAGCAACCGUACGUUACAAAUGCUGCUCUCGAACCUCGUCCAGAGAAAUUUAGCCACAAACAUCACAGCAGCCAGCUUAUUUGGGCAGAAUCCUCUCAACUCUUUCAAUUUGAAAGAAAUGCUCCAUCAAAUUAUAGAAAUCACCCACAAAGUGAGUACUACUUCUUGUUUUAUCCUAAAAUUUACCGAUGUAAUCAACAAUUUCUCAAAAUGA